rnacentral:rRNA from 1 species
CGCGCAGGCGGCCUUUCAAGUCAGGGGUGAAAGCCCGGAGCUCAACUCCGGAAUUGCCUUUGAAACUGUGAGGCUUGAGUACGGGAGAGGUGAGUGGAAUUCCCAGUGUAGAGGUGAAAUUCGUAGAUAUUGGGAAGAACACCGGUGGCGAAGACGGCUCACUGGCCCGUAACUGACGCUCAGGCGCGACAGCGUGGGGAUCAAACAGGAUUAGAUACCCUGGUAGUCCACGCCGUAAACGAUGGACGCUAGCCGUUGGCAAGCUUGCUUGUCAGUGGCGCAGCUAACGCAUUAAGCGUCCCGCCUGGGGAGUACGGCCGCAAGGUUGAA